AUCCUUUUGUAGUUCAUAAGUGUGAUGAUUGGGUGUUCAUGCGUCUCUGUGAUAUGUGCCACCCUGUAAACCUUGUUACGACCUCAGCACAUUACCUGUCUAACA